UGCAGUCGAGCGAACAGAUGAGAAGCUUGCUUCUCUGAUGUUAGCGGCGGACGGGUGAGUAACACGUGGGUAACCUACCUAUAAGACUGGGAUAACUCCGGGAAACCGGGGCUAAUACCGGAUAAUAUUUUGAACCGCAUGGUUCAAUAGUGAAAGACGGUUUCGGCUGUCACUUAUAGAUGGACCCGCGCCGUAUUAGCUAGUUGGUAAGGUAACGGCUUACCAAGGCGACGAUACGUAGCCGACCUGAGAGGGUGAUCGGCCACACUGGAACUGAGACACGGUCCAGACUCCUACGGGAGGCAGCAGUAGGGAAUCUUCCGCAAUGGGCGAAAGCCUGACGGAGCAACGCCGCGUGAGUGAUGAAGGUCUUCGGAUCGUAAAACUCUGUUGUUAGGGAAGAACAAAUUUGUUAGUAACUGAACAAGUCUUGACGGUACCUAACCAGAAAGCCACGGCUAACUACGUGCCAGCAGCCGCGGUAAUACGUAGGUGGCAAGCGUUAUCCGGAAUUAUUGGGCGUAAAGCGCGCGUAGGCGGUUUCUUAAGUCUGAUGUGAAAGCCCACGGCUCAACCGUGGAGGGUCAUUGGAAACUGGGAAACUUGAGUGCAGAAGAGGAGAGUGGAAUUCCAUGUGUAGCGGUGAAAUGCGCAGAGAUAUGGAGGAACACCAGUGGCGAAGGCGGCUCUCUGGUCUGUAACUGACGCUGAUGUGCGAAAGCGUGGGGAUCAAACAGGAUUAGAUACCCUGGUAGUCCACGCCGUAA
rnacentral:rRNA from 2 species